rnacentral:rRNA from 1 species
GACGUAGGGGACGAGCGUUGUCCGGAUUCAUUGGGCGUAAAGCGCGCGUAGGCGGCCACGCAAGUCGGGUGUGAAAUCCCGGAGCUCAACUCCGGAACUGCACUCGAAACUGCGCGGCUUGAGGUAGGUAGGGGAGAUCGGAAUUCCUGGUGUAGCGGUGGAAUGUGCAGAUAUCAGGAGGAACACCGGUGGCGAAGGCGGAUCUCUAGUACGGUACUGACGCUGAGACGCGAAAGCGUGGGGAGCGAACAGG